rnacentral:rRNA from 1 species
CAAUAGCGUAUAUUAAAGUUGUUGCAGUUAAAAAGCUCGUAGUUGGAUUUCUGACAGGAGCGACCGGUCUCGAAGCUUUGUCUUCAAGUACUUUUUGUGUCCGUCUCUAGUCAUCCUUAUGGAGAAUAUGUGUGACAUUAAGUUGUCGUGCAUGGGACCCAUAUCGUUUACUGUGAAAAAAUUAGAGUGUUUAAAGCAGGCAUCUUGCUGUUGAAUACAUUAGCAUGGAAUAAUAAGAUAGGACUUUGGUACUAUUUUGUUGGUUUGCAUACCAGAGUAAUGAUUAAGAGGGACAGUUGGGGGUAUUCGUAUUUAAUUGUCAGAGGUGAAAUUCUUAGAUUUAUGAAAGACGAACUACUGCGAAAGCAUUUACCAAGGAUGUUUNCAUUAA